rnacentral:rRNA from 1 species
GACGAACGCUGGCGGCGUGCUUAACACAUGCAAGUCGAACGGAAAGGCUCCAGCUUGCUGGAGUACUCGAGUGGCGAACGGGUGAGUAACACGUGGGUAAUCUGCCCUGCACUCUGGGAUAAGCCUGGGAAACUGGGUCUAAUACUGGAUAUGACCUUUCUCCUUAUGGGGUUUGGUGGAAAGUUUUUCGGUGUAGGAUGAGCCCGCGGCCUAUCAGCUUGUUGGUGGGGUGAUGGCCUACCAAGGCGACGACGGGUAGCCGGCCUGAGAGGGUGAUCGGCCACAUUGGGACUGAGAUACGGCCCAGACUCCUACGGGAGGCAGCAGUGGGGAAUAUUGCACAAUGGACGGAAGCCUGAUGCAGCGACGCCGCGUGAGGGAUGACGGCCUUCGGGUUGUAAACCUCUUUCAGCAGGGACGAAGCGUAAGUGACGGUACCUGCAGAAGAAGCACCGGCUAACUAUGUG